rnacentral:lncRNA from 1 species
GUUUACAUGAUAAACUCAACUCUGCAAGGAGCGGACAAGCAGCUAAGAGUCUGCGUGGGUACGUAAUGCGGACAUGACAAGAUUGCCCGCAGGACACGUUGCCCUUAAUUGUACUUGAUGAACAGCAUCAGAGCCGGCGGCAGCAGUCCUGUCCUUCUUGUUGGCCUCUUUUGCCGCAUCCAGCGACCUCUGGUGACCUAGUUCCACGCACGUUGCUCCUUUCCUGCUUUGAAUGGGUUUCGCUUUUUUCCUUUGGCAAUCCAGCUCUGAGAGGUUGCCGACGGCUCCUCGCUUCUCCUUCUUCCAUUUCGGUGGAUUCUCCAAGCUUUAUGCUCGCUGUUCGUGUCUCUGCUCUGCAUUUUGGGCUUCGCUUUUUGCAUGGGCGCAGCAGCACGUGGAUUUUGGAGUUAGCUUCCCCCCGGUCAGCAGGGCUUGCUUGUUUCCCUUUUCCCUGAUCGCGUUCCUUCGUUGUUACAGCUGUUACCGGCCGUCCUCAUGCUGGGAACGAGAAAAUUAGUUAUCGUCGGACAGCCGUGUAACGCACCUGGCUAACUUCAUACCGACUGCCCGUAUAGAUUCUGCGGCCUUCAAACCAAAUCAUAUUUUUGAGCUUCACUACUGUGAGCUUAUGACUGCGUGAAUGGUUGUUGGGUCAGGUGCGCUCAAUCCCUGACGACUCCACAUCGCAGGCUUAAAGCGUCCUGAGCUACGAGAAAUUUCAUACGCUUUGAAAUCGCGCGCCUGCAGGCCUCGACUGUGCAAUGAAGUCAUGUACUAUGAUGUGUCAUGUCAUGCAACGAAUUGCGUGAAAGCAAUUCGUACAAUAUAGUACAAGCGUGCGUGAUGCCAGGCCGCUGAGGCCGAUCGCCGGCAGCGUGCCUAGUGUGGCCAACAGGCAGUUUUUUGUCCACAAUUUAGCUCA